GUUUACGAUAACUAAUCGGAUCGUUGAUCGGACUGAGCAGUGGCACUCAACCGCUAGACUUCUAAAUUUCCCCAGACUAAUCCGGAUCAGUGAUCCCUGUCUCACAGCAGCACAGCACUGAUCCCGCAUGGUGGAAGAAAGUUGACGGAGAAAUUAUAAUUUUAUUGAAAGAUAGAUAAAAACUGAUGACUGAUGAUUGAUGAUUGAUGACUGAUGAUUGAUCGAUGACUGGACAUCGCCUAUAACGCAUGAAGGUAGUUUGGAAGACACUAUACUGUGAAAAUAUUGAAUAUAUCCGUCGUGCGCAG